rnacentral:lncRNA from 1 species
GCAAUUUACAGUGAAGUUCCAAAGAUCAGGGUGACAAAAUGGCUUUUGCAGUGGAUUGUAUUCAUCUCCCCUGUUUUUUAUUUAGUGGCUUAUAUUCAAGUUGUUCUGACUAAAAUUAGCUAGAACAGUAGAACUGUUGGGUUGUGCCAGCACAAACAUAAUAUACUCAUGAAAAUAUUGAUUUCUAUAAAAAGAGACUAAUCCCUGAUAAAACCAUGCAGAUUGUGUGUGCAGUAUUUUUGAGUGUUUUCUACGGAAUGAUUCUUCAUUAUGUCUUGGGUUGCAAAGAGGGAUUCCUUACUGGGAAGUUUCACUAAGCAUUUGAACCACAAUACUCAAUUCUGUAUCAAUGUGGUAAAUGGACAAUUCUAUGCCAGUAAAGCCAAUUUAAGCCUAGCAGUGGGUGGCCUAGCAACCAGGAGGUUGAUGGAGCCUAACUAAUGCCAUGUCUUGGAGAAAUAAUUUCAAAGUACAUAUUGCAGAUGGGUGUUGCAUUGCAGCAAGAUUACAUCCUGCUUGAGCUAGAUGUUGUCCUGCUCCAGCUGCCUGUUUGCUGAAUUUCUGCUUUUAUUUUUGUUCAAGGAGAAUCUCCUGGAUACUGCUAAUGUGAAAUCUGUUCAGCAAGAGAAUUCAGCAUUUGAGGAUUACCUAGAAAUUUCCAGGCUGGGUAAGAGAUGGAUCCCAGUGCUCCUGCUGCAAGCACUGCCACUUCUCAGAAGGGAAUUCAUAACUCCAGCAGGCCAGAAAGGCUGAGCAGCAGCAUGACUGGGCUGGUGAGGGGGUGGAAAGGUUGUAGUCCCAGCAGCAAAUACUGACCUGAUAUUUGCAGAUAUGCACGGGCACUUGUGCAGUUGCACUCAUAAACUGCAGUUGCUUCUAGCAAACAGUGCUUGUGUUUUAUGCUGAACUAAAUCUGGCCCUUCAUAACUUCUUGAAUGAGCCUGCUGUUUGUCAGGGGUGUACAUACUUCUUGGUUUUGCCUAGAGCUAAAAAAAGUCAAGCCAGAAGUGUUGCUCUAAAGGGCCUAAUAGGCAAAGAAGAGAAAUUGCCAAAAAGCUCACUGGUCCAGAAUUACUUCUAGGAUCAGCAGUUUGCGCAAGAUGAGGCUUUGGUUGUAAAAAAAAAAAAAAUUUUCCACAGUUUUGGUUGAGGUCACUGGGCUGACUAUUUCUAUCUCUCUUGCAAUUGAUAUCCCUCAGGCACUGAUCUAUGGGGGCAGAGUAUGAGGAUACAUCUGUGUAACUCUUGUAUGUGUUGGUUCUGCUUUCUGUCAGAAAUAAACUGGUUUCUG